AGUGAACGCUGGCGGUAGGCCUAACACAUGCAAGUCGAACGGCAGCACAGUAAGAGCUUGCUCUUACGGGUGGCGAGUGGCGGACGGGUGAGGAAUACAUCGGAAUCUACUUUUUCGUGGGGGAUAACGUAGGGAAACUUACGCUAAUACCGCAUACGACCUACGGGUGAAAGCAGGGGAUCUUUGGACCUUGCGCGAUUGAAUGAGCCGAUGUCGGAUUAGCUAGUUGGCGGGGUAAAGGCCCACCAAGGCGACGAUCCGUAGCUGGUCUGAGAGGAUGAUACGCCACACUGGAACUGAGCCACGGUCCAGACUCCUACGGGAGGCAGCAGUGGGGAAUAUUGGACAAUGGGCGCAAGCCUGAUCCAGCCACACCGCGUGGGUGAAGAAGGCCUUCGGGUUGUAAAGCCCUUUUGUUGGGAAAGAAAAGCAGCAGGUUAAUACCCCGCUGUUCUGACGGUACCCAAAGAAUAAGCACCGGCUAACUUCGUG
rnacentral:rRNA from 1 species